CCAAAGAGAGGAGUGCAUGAGGACACAGGAAGGAGCCGGCCAUCUGUAAGCCGAGGAGAGGAGCCGCACAAAACACAGACCCCUUGAUAUCUGGAUCUGGGACUUUCAGCCUCCAAAACUGGGCUAUUUAUGCUGCCUGCCUCAUGGAGCCUUUGUGAAGACUGAAGGCCACAACCAUCAUUAUCAUCAUCAUCACUCUAAUUGUCAAAUUAGAGGCCUGGAAUCUUGGUAAUGCCUUAUAAGAAGCUGCUUUGGCACCAUGCAGAGAAUGCAUGAAGGUUGUGGCGGUUCCCUGGAGUGCAGAGGAGCAGUUCUCAAAGACUUACCAAGGAGGAGGUGGUGCCCAGUUCCAGAGGAUGACAGAGAGAUUACAGGACAAGGCAUGGCCCUACCCUUUGUGCCUCUUCUCUUCUUCUUGAAACAGUAACAACUUAAAUUAGAACGUACCACAUAAUAAAAGAAAGUGUGUAACUUGUGCACACAAAAUAAUUUCAUGUGCUACCAAAGAGGGAUAUAUGGACAUGGUAUUAUAUGACAUUAUAUGAUAUGAUUCCCCUAUUCUAUCACAUAAAAAGAUUCUCAACUUCAUUAAUCAUCAGAAUAAUACCCCAAAUGAGAUACAACUAUGUAUCCAUCAGGAAAGACUGAAAAUUCCAACUGGUGGCAGGGACAGUUACCUUUAUGUAUUGCUGACAAGAGCAUAAAUUCAUACAUUUACUUGGCAAAACUUUUUGACUAUACCUGUACAUUGAACAUAAGCAUUCUCUAUGACCCAUAGAAAUUCUAUAUCCAGGUGUACAUCCAUAUUAGUUAUUUUUCUUACUGCUGUAAUCAAAUACCUGAAAAGAAGUGACUUGGAGAGGAAAGGUUUAUUUUAGCUUGCAGUUUGAAGGGAAACAGUUCAUCAUGGUGAGGAAGGCAUGGUGGCAGGAGUGUGUUGGCUGGUCUCAUUGCUUCCACAGGAAUGCAGCAGAGAGAUAACAGGAAGUAGGGCCUAAGUGUAAAAUCUCAAAGCCUGCUCACAGUAACAGUGGCCCACUUCCUCCAGGAAAUAUCUACCUCCCAAGGGCUUCACAAUCUUCCAAAACAGCUUCACCCUCUGGGGGCAAGUUUCAAACACAUGAACCUCUGGGGACAUUUCACAUUAAAAUCACAAAAUCCAAAAGAAAUAUGUACACAUGUUCAACAAAUGAUGUGUUCCAUGUUCUAGGAAGUUUGUGAAGUUGCUGCUUUUUAAAAAAAUUUGGUGUGUGUGUGUGUGUGUGUGUGUGUGUGUAUGCUUUUAAGUGCCUAUGGAGGCCUCAAGAGGGUGUCAGAUCCCCUGGAGCUAGAGUUCCAUGUGGUUGCCAGCUGCCCAACAUGGGUGCUAGGUACCAAACUCUGGUCCUCUGCAAAAGCAACUAGCACUCUUAACUGCUGAGCUCUCUCUCCAACCCCAGUUGGUCCUUAAUAGUGAAAAACUAGAAAUGAGCCGUGUGCCCAUCAACAAUAGAAUGGCUGAGUAAAUUGUGGUGUAUCCAGACCAUGAAACACUACUCACUGAUGCAAAGGAAUGAUUUACAGCUUCAUGCUAGAAUAGGAGUUAACCUCUCAUUCAUAAUGCUGAGCAGAGAAGGACAAAAAAGCUAAAAACCAAGACUGCACACUGUGUAUUUUUACUUACAUAAAACUGCAAAACAGGCAAAAUUCAUCCAGGUUCAUCAAAAUACAGGUAAUGUUUACCCUUGUGAACAACGGUGGUAAAACCUGGAAGGUGCAUCAUGGAGGGUUCUACACGAUGCUAAUUAACGUUCUCUUUCUUGGUCUGGGUGCCUGUUAAAUGUUAUGAUCACUUUGUAAA